UACGUAGGGACCGAGCGUUGUCCGGAAUCAUUGGGCGUAAAGAGCGUGUAGGCGGCUUGUUAAGUCUUGCGUGAAAUCUCGGGGCUCAACCCCGAGCGGUCGUGAGAAACUGGCAGGCUAGAGUGCGGGAGAGGAGAGUGGAAUUCCUGGUGUAGCGGUGAAAUGCGUAGAUAUCGGAAGGAACACCAGUGGCGAAAGCGGCUUCCUGGUCCGACACCGACGUUCAGGCACGAAAGCGUGGGGAGCAAACAGG
rnacentral:rRNA from 1 species